CGAGUCGACCGGGCGGCCGCGUCGGCGGGCUUCGGCCCGCCGCCGAGGAACGUCCGGACUCCACAGGGCAGGGUGGUUGCUAACGGCAACCCGGGGUGACCCGCGGGACAGUGCCACAGAAAACAGACCGCCGGCCCCAUCGGGGACGGUAAGGGUGAAACGGUGGGGUAAGAGCCCACCAGCACCCCGGGUGACCGGGGUGGCUCGGUAAACCCCACCCGGAGCAAGGCCAAGAGAGGGCUGUCGCCCGCAAGGGACGACGACCCGCGCAGACGCUCGAGGACGGCCCGUCCGAUGUCUGCGGGUAGGCCGCUGGAGCCUGCCGGCGACGGCAGGCCGAGAUGGAUGGCCGCCGCCGGCGCGGACCUUCGGGUCCGCGCCGCGCACAGAAUCCGGCGUACAGGUCGACUCGUCCG
rnacentral:RNase_P_RNA from 1 species